UUAAGUCCCUUUGAUGUCAUUGGAGAAGUCACUUAACAAUGUGCUGUUGGGUUCAAGGGGUUAAACAAAAGAAAAUUUCCCUCUGAGACUUCUCUCCCUCGUGGGAGAGUCUGCUUUUCUCUCUUACUAGCACAGGCUUUCUGGCUUGUAGAUUUAAGCACAUGUGUGAGCUCCAACGGGGCUCUGAAGUUUUGUCUGUUAAUGAGGCAAACAUUGGUGGUGUUCCCAAGGAGGAACCCUGAAAUGAUAUUAGACUGGAUCUAGGUGUGGGUUCUCCAGAGAUUCUGGGCAUUUUGGAACUGAGGGGGUGUUUUUCCUGAGGCCAGAACUGGGAAAGUGAAGUAGAUACUAACUGGGGUGGUAAGAAAGGCUGCCUUGAAAGUCCUGUGGGCGGGGCACUCUUAAAACCUAUUUUAAAAUAGGCUAAGCCUGCAUAUGGAUGUUCAUGUCCAUGGUGGUAGUGGUUAGAAGAGACUUACCACAGUCCUCACAGACCCAAAGGAAAAGAGGGUAGGACAUCGCUGGAUAGUCAUUCCUGACCUAAGGGACACGUGUGAAAUUAGAGGAAGAUUGCUUCUUCAUUUCUCCUGAAUUAGUACCCUGUCUCUUUAAGUGGGCCUGGGGAAUAGAAACAAUAUUGCAGGGACAACUAAACAGCAGUCCAAACAUAAUUCUAAGGGCUGUUAAGAAUUUGGGAUCCAACCUUGAAACUGAAUACCCCUUAGUAUUCAGGAUCUGGCAAGUGGUGUCAGAGUCGCUGGAGUCUUUGGUUGAGAAUGAGACAUGAUAUUCAUUGUUAGGCAGGUGGUCCCAAUGGAUGGCAUUCCCCAAUAGGAAGGACACUAGAUGUACAAUGUCAGUGAUACAUCUACAUUCUAAACUGGAAAAGUCUUUUUUGGUUAUUUGCUUCUUUGACCUCUUAGCUCUCCCGUCUGUUUUAGCAUCACCAGAGUGCCUCCAGUUAGCCUGGGCUGUUUGUCCCCAAAUCGAAAACCAUACCUUCUGUGCUGCUAGACUAGGUGGUAGGGAGUGCUAGAUUCUAGUGGGAAACUGGGAUUUUGGAUUUGUAAUUCUCCUAAGUUUUAUUCCCUCCUCCAAUUGUGAGAUCAUCUGAGGAGGCCCAAAACCUUUGGAAUCCAGAUUUGGAGCUGGGAAGAGGGAGUUUGCAGAGAUACCAGCCCCGGGGGACACUGCAUUAUGGUCAGGAAGUGGGGGAGGGACAUGAGGCACGUGACAGUGGUGCUGAGCAAGGACUCUUCCCCAGCCUCAGGGUGCUAGCUGGGGCCUUUGCUGUCACUCAUAUAAACAGGGCCUGGGGUGGCGGCCUGGGAGCAGUGUGCUGACAGACAAAGGGCCAGGUGUUCCCAUGCUGAGCAAGGAUACAUACAUACCCUUGAAAAGGUCCGUUUCUAGGUUGAUGGUAACUGGAAGAGCUUUUGCGGUAACUUUGAAGAAGCUAAAGAAUAAGUUAGAAAACAUAUAAAUAGAAAUUUCUUGUCCUUUGUGAUAAGGGAAAAAAGGAAUUAAUGGCUUCUUUUUGCUGGGCCCAUGGGCUUGGGUUUGUGGGCCUCCUCCUCUUAGCUAUUUCCCCUUUCAUCAUUUUGUGGCAUUCCUCUUUUCAGCAUUACUUGCCUUUUCACUUCCCUUGGGUCUGUUGAUCCUCACCAUAAAGGAAGCCAAGAAGAAUGACGAAACUAGAGCAAGCAAAGGAGAAACCAAGAAAGUUAUAGAGAAUAAAAGUGUUAGGGAAGUUAGCCUGCAGCAACAGAGAGAGGAGAAAAAUAAGGGGGAAAAAAGUAGAAGAAACACUGAUUUAGGUAGAGGUUGUACAAAAGGAAAGAUAAAUGAAUAUUGAGGAAAGGGCAAAGGCUAAGGGGAGGGGCGACGGCAAUGGAAGAAACACACAAGAACCCACAGAACAGGAAACAGGAAACAUCCCUUCCUGUGCUUCAACGUUCCUGCUUUCCUCCCUCCUUUCCUUCCUGUAAAUGCGGAGUGCUGACUACAUGCCAGGCACUGUCUAGGUACUGGUGAUAAAAGAUGAACAUGAGUCCUUCUGUGCUCUAGAAGAGCUCGUAUGUAGUGGGGAGAUAAUGUCAUGGUUGCCUGUAGGGCAUGGGGUGAGAAGUGGGGUUCCGAGUACUCCCUUUUCUGUGUUUAAGAAAAGGGAGGACCCCAGAAUGGGUCCUGAAGUCUUCUUGUAAUUGCUCUUGGGCUGAGGGUGGAUGACAAGCUGUCGUGUAUGGUCUAAGGAUACAUGGCUUCCCUCCUUCCCCAGGGUGGCAACCCGGGUUAUGGUGUUACAGUCACUAUUCUGAAGUGAGUCAGGGAUAGGACGCUUUCUGUGUCCUGGCACCAUACCCGCAGGCACGGAGUGAUGGGCCGUAUUCUCUCCUCUCCUCUCCUUGAAGUACCUCUGUGCUGUUGUGAGUGGUUCAGUUGCGACUCACCUCAGGCUCUCGCUUGGCUGUCAUGCUGUGUGAAAAAUGGAGGAGAAGGGGGUUGUGAGAAAUUUGGAAAAUGCAAAGGAAGAAUGAAGAAGCAUCCUUAUCCCCAAAUGACCAAAAAGAAGCUGAAGAAAAACAUUUUGGUAUCUGAGUUAUGGGUCCCUAAAGUCCAGAGAGCCCAAGGACCCCUCUUGUAGAAGAGGCUACCACUAUGUGAAGGGUGGGUUAAGGGUCUUUGCUGAAGCUGGGGGGCCUUCUGAGGGAGUCAAGGUUUGCUGUAUGUGUAGGUUUGGUUUUACAAAGCAGACAUUGAAAAGUAGCUGUGGGUUUCCAGAGUUUGAGGAGGGUAGAUUGGUAGGUUAUGAUGGGAUCCGGGAACCCUUUCCUACGUGGUCUGUUUUUAAGGUAUUCAUUUCUGCUGAAGAUAAUUGGCAAGGGCCUUAGGGUUGCCUGGCCAGAGUCCCAAAGACCCUGGAACUAAGGCACUGGCUGGGUAGGCACUCUGAUACAUACAUACAAAGCUGGGUGAGGGAAAUUGGCUCUAUUACUGCCAUUUUACCAAGCGUUUUGAAGAGUGCUUUUUGUACUAAGGUAGCACAAUGGUGGACGGUGCUCUCAUUUGGAUAGAUAGAUUCGUUUACUAAAACAACAGCACCACCAUAGUUUUCUCAUUUGCUGUGGACCGUUGAAAUCUUUCAAAAACCUGCCACAGUCCUUGGACAGCAUUUAAUUUCCACUGAUCCAGCCCAGAAACAAUGGCAUGAACUUCCCUAUCUUCGUGUCUUUGAGCAGAUGGCCAAAGGAUGGUUCUGGGUCAUGAAGAAUAUGACCAGAGACUUUGUGGAGAUUCUGAAAUCUCUGGCUUACGGGUUGAUUAGGGUUUCUCACCCCACCUUUCCCUAUUGGAGGUGUUUCUCUAUGGCCAUUUAUCAGGUUUCCAAGCAUCUUAAUCUUUAGGUGAAGUUUGGAUAUUUGUUUUCUGGCUCUCAGAUUCCCAUUUUGGUGUAUGUUCUGCCUUUUUGAAAAUGUUUUUGGGUCCUCUCCCAGCUAACUUUCAGCUCUUUGGGGAAAGAGCCAAAUAAUUCAUAACUAUGGUGAAAACAGAACCAAAACCAAACCUGUGUGUCUUGCAACUUCUGGCACCUGCUUUGGUUUUGUUUUGUGUUCCUUUGAACGGUGUUUGUUGUCUGGACCCCAAAGCCUGCAAUUCUAAUGACAUCCUUUCUGGUAUCCCUGCCCGGGAAUGAUGCUCAGGGAGUGUGUCCACACAGCUCACUGGGCUCUGGUCUGUAGCCUCUCAUAGUUCCCUCUUUGUUGAAAGGGCUUGCCAAUGAGUCUUCCCUCGGUAGGAUCUUGAUUCCCAAACUGAGCACAUUACAUGUAAAGAAGUUUUGAUCAAGGAACAAAAAGCCCAUCUUCUAGUCCUGGCACUGCAUGCAACUAUUAGCUGUGUGAACUUUGGCAAGUCUCUGAACUUCUUUGGGUUGUGGUUUCCUUGUAGGUAAAACUGGGGUAUUAAUACCUACCUCACAGGGUUGUUGUGAGGAUUAAACGUGCUCUGUAAUCUGUCAUAUAAAUGUUGGCAAAUUUUUGUUAGGAUUUAAGAGCUAUUUUAAAAUUGUCCCUGACCACAUGGCAGAUAGGCUGAUUUCUGCUCUCAGAGCAAUGGUUUUCACAGUCAUGUACUGCAUGGUUAAUUCACUGGAGCAAAAUUUUGUGUUUCUCUGGAAAUAUUUUUGUGUGGAGAGGGCCCAUAAGUUUCAUCAGUUUCCUAAAGAGAGUUCAUUGCACUAAAAAGUUAAGAAUCAGUGCUUCAUAACUGGAAAGUUGGAUUCAGUAACAGAAGUAAAUGUAUUGCUUACAGAAGGUCCCUCUUAACACAUCUGCAGUAGCAGUUGCAAUGUUAGAUAGUGAAAUUCUUAAUGUGUCCUGAUGACCGUACAGGACAUUUGAAAUCGGGAUUCAAAAUCUUGGACACAUGGUCAUGGCAGUCAUUUGAUUAUUCAGUUGCCUAAUAUGGUGGCAAUGGUGGAUGUGGAAUUAACUACAUUGCCCUACAGUAGUCACCUUACCUCAUGGGAUCUGUUACCUCCUUUGUAAAGUAAUGGAUUUGACCUUGAAGAUUUCCAAAGUUCCUAGGUUGAAUUCUCUAGGAAAGAGAGAUCAAAACUGGACUUGGAUGGAGACCUGCUGUGGCAGAAAUGAAUCAAGUUUUGUGGAGGAGGGAAAAGAGGGAAUGUCGGAGCAAGGAGGCGGGGCAGAGCAUCCAAGGAGCUCAUUCUGGAUAAAGGUGGGAAAAGCAGGCCUGCAGAGGUGAAGGGCCUGGUAAUUGGGGCAGGAAGACAGCUGGUGGGCUACUUAAGAUCCAAGACUCUGAUGGACCAGAGGCUCAACCUCCACCUUUCACCGUGGGACGGGCUUGCCAGAACCCAGGCUCCCUGAGCAAACACAUCGUCUUCCUCGCACACACAGAACUUCCGGUUCUCAGGGGAACAAAUGCCUGGAGUCUUCCCACUUUCUACGUCAGGAGGUUUGCUUACUUCUGGAAAAUGCUGCUUUUCAGGUGCCUUAAGACGCAGGAUUCAAAACCUUACGAGUGAGAAGGGCUAGAAUAUUUUAGAGAGGAAGAAAGAAAGAGACAAGAAGCAUGAAACUGAAGAAACUAAGAACUAGGUCCCAUCCGGGAGGUUUUUGUGUAGAUGAUGAAUGGACACCAACUAGAGACACUGUGCACGAGGCCCCCAUGAUGUGAUGUUUGGCUUCUCCUGAUGGGGAGGGCAGAUGUGCUUUUGUGGUCAAGCACAGGAUGUUUGGGUUCCGUCGUGUGAGUUUGCUUUGAAAUUGUGCGUUUUCACUUAAGAAACAAGUGGCACACCCAGCACCAAGUGUGUUAAUGUCUUAUUGAACCUUCCUGAGGUGUGUGCUGUCUCACAACGUAUAUACUUCAACGUAAUCGCAGGGCAUUAUAAUAAAGUGUA